GACGAACGCUGGCGGCGUGCUUAACACAUGCAAGUCGAACGGAAAGGCCCCUUUGUUGGUACUCGAGUGGCGAACGGGUGAGUAACACGUGAGUAACCUGCCCUUGACUUCGGGAUAACUUCAGGAAACUGGGGCUAAUACCAGAUAGGAAUCCUUGCUGCAUGGUGGGGGUUGGAAAGCUUCGGCGGUUUUGGAUGGACUCGCGGCUUAUCAGCUUGUUGGUGGGGUAGUGGCUUAUCAAGGCUUUGACGGGUAGCCGGCCUGAGAGGGCGACCGGCCACAUUGGGACUGAGAUACGGCCCAGACUCCUACGGGAGGCAGCAGUGGGGAAUAUUGCACAAUGGGCGGAAGCCUGAUGCAGCAACGCCGCGUGCGGGAUGACGGCCUUCGGGUUGUAAACCGCUUUCAGCAGGGGCGAAGCUUUUGUGACGGUACCUGCAGAAGAAGCACCGGCUAACUACGUG
rnacentral:rRNA from 1 species